rnacentral:rRNA from 1 species
UAGGGAAUCUUCCACAAUGGACGCAAGUCUGAUGGAGCAACGCCGCGUGAGUGAAGAAGGUCUUCGGGAUCGUAAAACUCUGUUGUUAGAGAAGAACACGAGUGAGAGUAACUGUUCAUUCGAUGACGGUAUCUAACCAGCAAGUCACGGCUAACUACGUGUCAG